rnacentral:rRNA from 1 species
UUAAGCGACUAAGCGUACACGGUGGAUGCCCUGGCAGUCAGAGGCGAUGAAGGACGUGCUAAUCUGCGAUAAGCGUCGGUAAGGUGAUAUGAACCGUUAUAACCGGCGAUUUCCGAAUGGGGAAACCCAGUGUGAUUCGUCACACUAUCAUUAACUGAAUCCAUAGGUUAAUGAGGCGAACCGGGGGAACUGAAACAUCUAAGUACCCCGAGGAAAAGAAAUCAACCGAGAUUCCCCCAGUAGCGGCGAGCGAACGGGGAGGAGCCCAGAGCCUGAAUCAGUAUGUGUGUUAGUGGAAGCGUCUGGAAAGGCGCGCGAUACAGGGUGACAGCCCCGUACACAAAAAUGCACAUGCUGUGAGCUCGAUGAGUAGGGCGGGACACGUGGUAUCCUGUCUGAAUAUGGGGGGACCAUCCUCCAAGGCUAAAUACUCCUGACUGACCGAUAGUGAACCAGUACCGUGAGGGAAAGGCGAAAAGAACCCCGGCGAGGGGAGUGAAAAAGAACCUGAAACCGUGUACGUACAAGCAGUGGGAGCACGCUUAGGCGUGUGACUGCGUACCUUUUGUAUAAUGGGUCAGCGACUUAUAUUCUGUAGCAAGGUUAACCGAAUAGGGGAGCCGAAGGGAAACCGAGUCUUAACUGGGCGUUAAGUUGCAGGGUAUAGACCCGAAACCCGGUGAUCUAGCCAUGGGCAGGUUGAAGGUUGGGUAACACUAACUGGAGGACCGAACCGACUAAUGUUGAAAAAUUAGCGGAUGACUUGUGGCUGGGGGUGAAAGGCCAAUCAAACCGGGAGAUAGCUGGUUCUCCCCGAAAGCUAUUUAGGUAGCGCCUCGUGAAUUCAUCUCCGGGGGUAGAGCACUGUUUCGGCAAGGGGGUCAUCCCGACUUACCAACCCGAUGCAAACUGCGAAUACCGGAGAAUGUUAUCACGGGAGACACACGGCGGGUGCUAACGUCCGUCGUGAAGAGGGAAACAACCCAGACCGCCAGCUAAGGUCCCAAAGUCAUGGUUAAGUGGGAAACGAUGUGGGAAGGCCCAGACAGCCAGGAUGUUGGCUUAGAAGCAGCCAUCAUUUAAAGAAAGCGUAAUAGCUCACUGGUCGAGUCGGCCUGCGCGGAAGAUGUAACGGGGCUAAACCAUGCACCGAAGCUGCGGCAGCGACGCUUAUGCGUUGUUGGGUAGGGGAGCGUUCUGUAAGCCUGUGAAGGUGUGCUGUGAGGCAUGCUGGAGGUAUCAGAAGUGCGAAUGCUGACAUAAGUAACGAUAAAGCGGGUGAAAAGCCCGCUCGCCGGAAGACCAAGGGUUCCUGUCCAACGUUAAUCGGGGCAGGGUGAGUCGACCCCUAAGGCGAGGCCGAAAGGCGUAGUCGAUGGGAAACAGGUUAAUAUUCCUGUACUUGGUGUUACUGCGAAGGGGGGACGGAGAAGGCUAUGUUGGCCGGGCGACGGUUGUCCCGGUUUAAGCGUGUAGGCUGGUUUUCCAGGCAAAUCCGGAAAAUCAAGGCUGAGGCGUGAUGACGAGGCACUACGGUGCUGAAGCAACAAAUGCCCUGCUUCCAGGAAAAGCCUCUAAGCAUCAGGUAACAUCAAAUCGUACCCCAAACCGACACAGGUGGUCAGGUAGAGAAUACCAAGGCGCUUGAGAGAACUCGGGUGAAGGAACUAGGCAAAAUGGUGCCGUAACUUCGGGAGAAGGCACGCUGAUAUGUAGGUGAAGUCCCUCGCGGAUGGAGCUGAAAUCAGUCGAAGAUACCAGCUGGCUGCAACUGUUUAUUAAAAACACAGCACUGUGCAAACACGAAAGUGGACGUAUACGGUGUGACGCCUGCCCGGUGCCGGAAGGUUAAUUGAUGGGGUCAGCGCAAGCGAAGCUCUUGAUCGAAGCCCCGGUAAACGGCGGCCGUAACUAUAACGGUCCUAAGGUAGCGAAAUUCCUUGUCGGGUAAGUUCCGACCUGCACGAAUGGCGUAAUGAUGGCCAGGCUGUCUCCACCCGAGACUCAGUGAAAUUGAACUCGCUGUGAAGAUGCAGUGUACCCGCGGCAAGACGGAAAGACCCCGUGAACCUUUACUAUAGCUUGACACUGAACAUUGAGCCUUGAUGUGUAG